GCUCCUCUGGGGCCCUGGCGUUCCCACCACAGCCUGAGGCUGCAUCUUCUCCAUAGGACUGCCAUGGCCUCAGCCCAGGAGGAGGGUUUUGCCAGUUCUCUGAGGGUCCUUUAUCUGCCAAAAAGGAAGUUCAAAGUGCUGGCGGAACAACCCCUCUCACCCCAGUGAGGACACUGAAGCGAGAGCAACUCGUUCGCCUUUCUGGUCACGUACCCUCCAUGAAAUGUAAAUAAAUACUAGGCUGUGAA